rnacentral:rRNA from 1 species
GUAGGGAAUCUUCGGCAAGUGGGGGCAACCCUGACCGAGCAACGCCGCGUGAGUGAAGAAGGUUUUCGGAUCGUAAAGCUCUGUUGUAAGAGAAGAACGUGUGUGAGAGUGGAAAGUUCACACAGUGACGGUAACUUACCAGAAAGGGACGGCUAACUACGUGCCAG